CCGACGGUGAGAGACGAAAGCUGGGGGAGCAAACCAGAUUAGAUACCCGGGUAGUCCCAGCCGUAAACGAUGUGCGUUAGGUGUAUCGGUGACCACGAGUCACCGAGGUGCCGAAGAGAAAUCGUGAAACGUACCGCCUGGGAAGUACGGUCGCAAGGCUGAAACUUAAAGGAAUUGGCGGGGGAGCACCACAACAGGUGGAGCCUGCGGUUUAAUCGGACUCAACGCCGGAAAACUCACCAGAUAA
rnacentral:rRNA from 1 species